CUUUUACAUCGUAUAUUCUCUAUUACAGUUUUAAGCCCCUCUAAAACUCAACCUUCCUGGAGAUGUGAAACUUGACCGAAUGUAGGAAGAACAAUGAACAUGUUCAUCAAGCUCCUAGAACAAACGUGGCCGGAAAGACUGUACAAGAAAUGAUAUGUCACAGCCCGUGACUUUUUUUGGAUCAGUGAUUUUUAUGUUGGUGAACUUAUUUCGGGGUCAAAAAUACUACAAAAGUAACAAGCAGCGGUGGCCAUAGCAUUUGCAGAAGAAGCAGCUGAAAAGAGAAGCUGCAUCCAUAAAGGCUCACUAACACGACUACCUAAACAUGAGCUGAGUGUGAAGGAGAGCAAGGCAUGUUCAUGUGGACAGGAGAACUCCCAGGAGGCCUCAAUCAUCCACAAAGACUAAUGAGCAACGUAGAAAUGCUGAGAGGAAGAGAAAUCGUCUCCUCCCAGGUAAGAGCAUGUGGGUUGGUUAUGCAAUACCAAAUGGUCAGCUUUGAAAACGUACAUAUAUGGAAAACGAUAGGAACUGAGCAGGUCAUAUUGCAUUAAGUGUUUGUGAGUGUGUGUGUAUGUGUGUGUGUAUACGUGUGUAUGUGUGUACAUAUGUGUAUGUAUAACAGCAACUAAAGAAAAAGACUGAACUUGAGGAGGGACUGAAGCCAUGUGGAGGGUUUGGAGAAAGAAAGAAAGGGACAAAUAAUAUGAUUAUAUUAUAAUCUCACAGAAUUGUGUUGUGUGUUCAUGUGUAUGUAUUUAUACUUUCACUACACCUUCAAAUUUUCAGUUAUGGUUGUGUGUGUGUGUGUGUGUGUGUGUGUGUGUGUGUGUAUCAGAAAAGAACUGAUGACUGUUUUGCCCCAACAAUUGUCCUAUGUGUCUGGACUCAAAAAAUUCAAAAAUCCUGAACUAGAAUUAAACAAAGGUGAACUUUCCCCUCUAGUCAAGAGAAAGUUUAUUUCAUUGUCUCUGUGGCUUCCCACUCAGUCAGUAAUCCUCAAUGCCUUCAACUCCCUUUAACCAGAAAACGCUACAUGGAAUUUUCCAAGGAAGGGGUUGGUUUGGACUAAGAGUAUGCUCUCUCACCCCUCAUUCUGGCCUCCAUACAGAUAUUAAAAUUUGGCUUUUGACCUCUCAACACAGUUUACUAAUUUAUAAAGGAUAUAGUCCAAACUUGAGCUUCCUAGCAGCAGGUAGCAACCUACUAAGCUAACACUGAAGGGAAAGAACCUAGGCAACUCUGAGGACAUUCACCUGUCACCAAGGAGGACCUCCCAUGAUGCCAAUCAGUAGAAACACCUGUGCCAUUCACUUAUCGUUUUCAGGGACUUCCGGAGACUAGGAAAACAAUGUAAAAGAGGUUUCAAAUCAUGAGUGGUAAGUGUUACGUGUAACACCUGAAAGUCCACCCGGGGUUCCCUUCCUAUGCAUGUUGUUGGGUAUGCAUUAAGGAUAUAGAGGGUCCAGCACCUCAGACAGCUCACUGGAGAGGAUUCUUCACGGAAGAAUGGAAGCACAUACCAGCUGAGCUACUACAAGUGUGAUUACUCAGUUUCUGUGUUAACAUUUGCAACAUCCUGUAUGCUUGCUUCAUUCAUGCUUUGGCAGGUAUGUCUGGGGGAAAGAUUGGAUUUGAUACAAAAAUCAAAUCGGUUCUCCAACCUUGGCUAAUGUUUAUUUUUGACAAAAUAUUUUGACACAUGAGAAACAUUUCAGACUGUGAACUUUGUCUUAAUUUCUGUCCACCCUAAUGAAUUUAUUUUUAAUUCAGUAGGAGAAGUUAGCGAUAUGUGGCCAUUGCCUUUAGAUCAUUUCAACAUAGCAAAAUAUACCUCAGGUAGCACACGUUCUAUCCACUAGUUCUAUGAAUGUUCACUCUGAAACAUUAGACUCCUUUUUGGGAUAUACAGAGAAAGAAAAAUAUGUCUCUGCUCAUGAAAAUUUUACUAGAGAACAGUUUGUCUAUGGAAUUUGGAAAAAGACCUGAGUCCAGUAGCAACUAGAGGCACAGAGGACAUGCCAUUGUAGACAGCAAACGGAUAGGGAAAACCAUAUCCUGAAACUCACAGCUAAUUCUGUUCUUGCUUUAUUUUCUUUUAUUUCAUGCUACUGUUUUAUUAGAUGUGUGUUUAUAUUCUAAUGAGAGAGAAAGAGAAAGGGUGUGAAUUUGUGCUAAUGGGGAGUCAGGGAGGAUCUGGAAGGAGGAUCAUGUAGAGAGCAAACCAAACUCAGGAUAUGUUGUAUGUACAUAUCUGUUUUCAAUGAAGAAAAACCUAUUCUUCUUAAACACAAACAACUGUACAAAGAACAAGUAUCAAAGCAUCCUGUGAUUGCCAUGAAUCAAGAAAAAAACAAAGAAGAAACAAAGCAGAAGAUCUUGUUAGAAGUGGGAGGACAUCCCCGUAAUUCCAGAACCUGGUACACUCAGGCAGGAAAUCCUCAAGGUCAGCCUAAGCUGUCUAGUAAGACACUGUUUCCAAAGCAACAGACGAGGGACAGUGGCAUAGUCACAUGUGAGCACUGACAAAAUAAACUCAGCGUCCCUGCUACAGGAAUGAAUAGUUAAACUAUAUGUAUCUCCUGGCUCUGAGAGUGGUGGCUUUGCUACAAAACAAACCAGGAAGCCCUAUUUCAUCCUUUCCCCCUCAAGAAAGGACUCAACAAAGUAGAGAUUACAGAAUUACCAGUUUCCUCAUAGCAUCAGUCUAGAGUCAAGACCCACCUCCUUAAAGCCUGUCCCAAUUCACCAGCUCCAGACAAACCCUGAAGUAAAGAAGUUCGAAGACUUUUACUGAGAUGCUCACAAGCUAAUCAGGCAGCAAGGGCAGUGAGCUCCAAGGGAGUUGAACAGAUAUGAGUAAGUGCAUCACAUCACUUUGCCUCUUCAUUCUCAUUUAUUACACUUUAAAAAGCCAUAUAUAUUCAUUUAUUACACUUCAUGCAUGUACUCAUUGAUUUACCAAUUAUAAAUACAUUUUUGACAAAACGUCCCCCAAUUUAUCCACUCUUAUAUACCUAUCAAAUUUAUAUACCUAUCAAAUUCCUUCUUCUCAAAUUUUCCUCCAGCUUUCAUACCUUUAUUUUUUGUAUGUGACCCAUUGUAUUUAGUGAUGGUUGCCUGCAUGAACAUAAGUGGAAGAAUAUUAUGAAAUCUUAUAUUUCAAACCUGAAAUGCUUAAACCUUAGCAGUAAAAAUUUUAAUUAUGUACACAUUAAAUUCUAUGAAAUCUUUUGUAUUUUAUGAUGCAUCCUGCAGAAAACAACAAUAGUGCUAAAUUAUAUUUGCAUGGUAAAGGAUCCUACUCAUCAGUUAUUUCUCAGAUAAUAAUAUUUAUUAGAGAAUUACAGUUCCUAUUGAGGUUGAAAUCUGCUACUCAUUAAACAUGUUCUCUUGACUCAGACACAAUGAGAAACUCUUUUUUUUAAUGCCAAAGGUUAAAAUGUUUUAAGAGAGCUAUUGUGGUCUUGGUUCUAUUUAUUUACCUCUGGUUUUCAGAUGAAGAAAUAUUAUUAGCAUAUUAUCACUUCCUUUGAUCCUUGGUUUUCCAAUGUCUUAAUAUACUCUGUAAAUCCAAAUACUCUACAAUUAUUUGUUACCGUCUCUUGACCAACAUUUCAGGUCAAGCAUGGAAGAUAUUCCGAAUUUGGAACUAUAUUGUCUAGUUAUUGCCUCAAUUCAAAAGUACAUCAAAUACUCUCACAAUUUUGAUGUAAAUUGAUCUGAUAGAAAGACAGACAGAAUAGAAUCUGUAACAGAUUCUUACUAUAUUUUUUAUCUUAAAUAUAUACAUUUUCUAUUAUUCAAAAUGUCUCUUCAUUAAUCUAAUAGCAAAAAAAGGGCACUUAAAUAACAGAAUUUCUGUUUUCUCAAAAUGAUAUGAAAGACAUUUUCUCUGAUCACUUGUUCCUGUUAGAGCAUAGGUAGAUCCAGGUAUCUAUGAAGCUGUCAACGAUUGAGUUUCUCCAUGUCUGAAGAUGCUAGCUGCUGAUGUUAUAUUUUUUGAACUUCAGAUUUCAUGUUUGGCCCUAAAUCUUAUUCUCCCAAAGGCAUUUUAAUUACUCUAUAAUAUUUUUGAUUUCUAAUAUACUUAAAUUUUAUGUCUCACAAAAACAAAAGAAAAACAAAAUCAUGCAUUCAAGUAGAAAAUAAGGAAAUUAUUGGGUUUUUCCUCUAGAUUAAAGGGAUUAAAAACAGCUUUCAGAGGUGGUCAUUAUUAAAAAAAUGUAGCUAGUAAUAAAUAACUCAGCCAUAUCUUUUUCAUUUUGACAGUAGAAAAAUUUUCUGUCAAAGGUCUUUUUGAAAUCUUGGCAUUGUCUUUAACAUAACUCCAAACCAAUAUCUAAGAAUACUAUUAAAGAUAAUGUAUUCAUCUGGCAUGACUUAAUGACAAAAAUCUUAUCUUUCCCCCUCUUAAGUUUUCAGAGAUAUAACAUAUUAUCAUUUUAUAAUAUUUUCUGUCACAGCAUCAAGCUCAGUAGCUCAUGGGAGUCACUAACUUUACCCUGGGUUUUAAAACAUGCAUGGUUUAUGCUAAUUCUGUCCUUCUCCUUGGUUGCUAUUUGACACAGCUUUCUAUAUAUCACCUGAAUUGGUUUAUCAAUUUCAUCUUAACCCAAUUAAAAAAUUAAUAAAUUCUUCACCAAACUCUAAGAACAAGUGUUUGAGCAGAAAAGUUUGAGAAUGUGACCCUUUGAUGUCCCCAUGCCACAAACCCUUUGGGAUUGACUACUUACAGGAAAAUACAUCAGUGAAAUGUUCCAAUUAAGCCAGUUGCUUUCAAAAUGUUGAUAGCAAGUUAUACGAAGAAAUACAUUUGACAUUCACCUCUCUUCUGUUCUCUGUUACACUCACCCACACACACCUAAUUUUACUAUAAGGUAUUUCUAAUCUUUUCUAGAACAAAAGUGAGGGCAAACCCCAUUAUAUUAUUUUUUCGCCUACAAACAAUGCAGUCACAACCGAUGGUUAAAAAAUUACUACCUAGCACAGCAUUUGCAUUCUUCCUGUGUCUGAACCUGAUAUUUCACAGGCAUCUUUGUAACUCUGUCUUCACUUUGGAUAGAAGUUAAAUUCAUUGACCUGCGUUUUUGUAACAAUACCCACAUUGCAUUGGCAGAAAACAGCAGUACUUUAGCCUUUAGUCUUCAUGCACACGGCAAGCUUCUAAGGUAUCAUUAUGAAAGGAUGAGAGCUAAGGUUACCUUUACCUCUGCACUAUCAUUAUUGCCAGCCAGUCAGGAGCAAACAAGAGCCAGGCAAAGGUUGAGGCAGUUCUCCUCUCAGGCAUGACCCCAUGAGUCCUAUCCGUGUUUACUUCACUGGUCAAAACAAGUCACAUUAACUCCCAAAGGUCCACGUUACCACACACAUCUUACCUCAUUGCAAGUCUAAAUACAGGAAAAAUAGAAAAGUGCUCUUAAGAAGUAGCACAAUGCUUACCAAAGCCUGGGAUGGAUUUAAGUCUCUCAUCUAAGCGAGCCAUGAGUCUAAAGAACAGGAAGCCUGGUUGUCAGUUUUCUCUGCAGUCUCCACUUCUUCCUCCUGGGUUGUCCUGCCUCAUCAUUCUCCAUAUAUGGCAUGCUUGGAGUAAGUGUUCAUGGCUUGCUCUAGAAGUUGAGAAGUUGAGGUUGGAGGAUAGGUCACUCACUUUUGUGCUUGUUCUAAGAGCCUAGUUUUGCCUUCCAUCCCCAAGCUCCCAGAAUAACAAAUCUGAGACUAAAAAUUUAUUUACAAACACCUCAGCCAUAAGAUUUGGUAUAUUCUUGGACUAGCCCCUGAAUCAAUAUCCCGUUAAUUCUGUUAUAAGUUCUGUCAUGUGGCAGGUUACCAGGUUACCUCUGCUUCGGUUGCAUGUAUCCUCCUUGGGGUUCCAAAUCCUUUGGGGGCACAUCCAUCUGGGCUAGGCUCUGUCUCAGAAUCCUUUCUGACUACUGGCUGUUCCACUUUCCAUUCUACCUUUUCCUAUAGGCCACAGGUAUUUUGUUGACAAAUGAUACAUACACACAGGACAUAAGGUGGUCUCUCCACAGCUUGUCUUACAAACACAAAGGCCUUAGUUCAUUCCUAAAACUCACAGUUUUAAAAGGCCACCAUUAUGAUAUGUGAUUAGAAUCAAAGAACUGGAGAAAUUGAGACAAACAGAUCCCUAAAGGUGACAGGCCUACUCGCCCGUACUUCUAGUCUACUUAUCUAGUUCUAGAAAGAUUGUCUCAGUCAAAACAAGCAACAGCAGCAGCAGCAGCAGCAGCAGCAGCAGCAGCAGCAGCAACAACAACAACAACAACAACAAAAGGUUAGAGCCCAAAAUGGCACUUGAGUUGUCCUUUGGCUUCCUCAAGUAGGUACCCACCUUGUACAUGAACCAUUACCACAGGUAUACACAGGAAUGGGAAAAUCAUUGGUCAUUAUAUUGUAAAUUCGUUUUUGCUCUAUGCUGAUAGAUAUUCAGUUAAAUGAGUUUCUCAGAUGUAAAUGUAAAUAUUCAAAAAUUAUUUUGUUUUCAACCCAAUGUUUAAUACUUUGAUGUAUCUCCUUGUAUUUUCCACACAUCCACCCCAUGCCUCACUCUCAUUAGACACAUAUUGACUUACAAACCUUUUUCUAAUCAAUAUUGCUCCAUUAGAAGGAAUUGCUGAUUGUUACUAUCGUAAUUGGGGCUUUGCUCUGAAAUUAAUUAAUAGAUUUUUAACAUGGGAAUGAAAAACCAAAGCAUCGACUUGAUCUUACUUGGAUAGGCUUUGUAAAACAGGCCUUUGCUCCUCAAAAUCUUCCAUGAGAAGUGGUGGUCUCUCUAAUCCAAUGAAGAAGGUCCUCAGGUCCCUGUAAUUCCUGCUUGCAAAAGAGGUAAACUCUUCUUACCUUCUUAUUGUUAUAGCUUUUCAAAUUAAGAAAUGAACUCUGACACACAGCUUUCCAGUCUCUGCUCCUUGAGGUCCAAGCUUAUUACUGACUUGUGUAUCUUUCCAAUUCCUGCAAGUACUGGAUUUGUACAAAGUUUGGAAUUUUAUAACAUGGGCCAUCUUCCUACUGACACCAGCAGUCUCUGGCUGCUGUUGGCAGGACACCUCAUUUUCUUUCUAACUGUCCUCUGAUAGAUACCCAUAUGCUAAGCAUGCCAGUGCAAUUUAGAAUCCCAUCCAACACUCACAUUAUACUGCAGUUAUUGAAAGCACAAUGGGUUACUUUGCAUUCAGGCUAUGCCUCAAGUGUGGGUCAGCUGGAACUCUGUGCAAGUUCAUUUCUUACUCCUUGACAACUCAGAGCAUUUGUCCAGGUUCUCCGAUGGAAAUCCUCUACAUACAAUUCAGAACAUUUCUGCUUCCCUGUUCUUUGUUGCACCACCUUAGGGCCUUAUCAUCAUUUUCUCUAGACAAGCUUCACCAACUAUAAGUCAUACACCUCCAUUUUGCUCACUCUGUACUUCAUACUCUAAUCACAUGGUCAUACCCAAACACAGAUCCGAGUGUCAUCUUUAGUCUAGCAUCUGCUCUCAGCUACAAGUGUAUAAAUUCGGAAGAGGAUAAUGGAUAUUUACAAAGGUUUAGUCUGUUUAACAUGCACACACAUGCAGGAACACAUACAUACUAGUAACAUAUUCCUCACUAUCUGCUCCUCGAAGAUACUGUGAUAUUAACAUUAAUAUGACAGUAAUUCAAUAUUUCUUUGAAAGUUUUCAUGGAAGAGCAAUACAUUCCAAACUUAGUUUUGUUUCAUAAAAUCUUUGCUAUGUGAAGCUUCAUACUCAAGAAACUUGGAAAAUACUCAUCCAAAGGAAAGGAAAGAGUAUUAGUUUGUGAUUUUUCCAGAAAAAGGACAUAGUUUUUAUAAAUGCAUUGAUAUAAAUUUUCAGAAAAGGAAUAUUAUAUAUGGGUUGUCCCCAAAUAUUACUCUGCAGAACUCCAUUUCUUCCUUCCUUCCUUCCUUCCUUCCUUCCUUCCUUCCUUCCUUCCUUCCUGCCUUUCUUUCUUUCUGCCUUUCUUUAUGCAUGCCUGCCUUCCUUCCUUUCUUUCUUUCUUUCUUUCUUUCUUUCUUUCUUUCUUUCUUUCUUUCUUUCUUUCUUAAGAUUUGUUUAUUUCAUAUUUGUAAGUACACAGUUGCCCUCUUCAGACAAGCCAGAAGAGGGCAUUGGAUUCCAUGGCAGAUGGUUGUGAGCCACCAUGUGGUUGAUGGAAAUUGAACUCAGGAACUCUUGAAGAGCAGUCAGUGUGCUUAACUGCUGAACCCUCUCUGCAGCCCAGAAUUCCAUUUCUAAAGAGUCCAGUUAGAGUUGCCAGUAAGUGCACAGAUACAGUGUCCUCUGGUAGAGCAUAAAAACUUGCCAGUGACUACACCUUGAAAAGAUGAACUCUCCAUCCCAGAGUGCCAGGAGCUCCUCAGUUUGGGGCAGGGCCUCAAAGCUCCUUCCCCAUCGAUACUGACUUGUUGAGCAGCUUGUUCUAGAGCAGGUCCUGUCCAGGCAACUACUUUAUACUUACACAGGAGAGGUCCUUUCACGUCCAGAAAACAAUGAUUCAUCACAGUCCUCCCUGACCGACUGCUCUUACAGCGUUCCCUCUCUCUCUUCAGUGACAUCUCUUGAGCCUUCCAGAUUAUCACCAUCGUUUUAUACAAUGAAGAAAUUACAAGAAGUGCAUGCCGACAGGAGCCUGAUAUAGCUGUCUCCGGAGAGGCUCUGCCAGAGCCUGACAAAUACAAAGGCAGGCGCUCGCAGCCAACCAUUGAACUAAGAAUGAGAACAGGGUCCCCAUUGGAGGAGUUAGAGAAAGGAUUGAAGGAGGUGAAGGGGUUUGCAACCCCAUAAGAACAAAAAUGCCAACCAACCAGACUGCUGAAGAAAUAACGUUUCAAAGUUUCAUAGAUGUGAGAAACAGAGUUGUAAAAGCAAGGUUUUGAGAAAUACAUCUGGCAGUCAAGGAUGCCUAUGACAAACUUGUGACCUUUCUGAAAGAUGCAUCUGAGGUCAUGAUGCCCGGUAAUAUGAAAUAAGUUUGGUGAUCAAGAUUCUGACUAAGCUAAUUAAGACAAAACAAUAACAACUGUUCUUGAAAAGACCCUCCUUCCCCUCCCUGUGGUAAAGUCCAAGAACAACCGCAAGGUGUCAUCCUGACCCUGCCCAACCACCCAGUUCACCCCCCCCUCUAAGGGAUGUGCCAACUUAGCCCCUUCCCAGUGAUUCACCAAGGCCAAGUGUAGGGCUGGAUGAAGAAAGAGACUGAGUCAAGAACAGCCCCUUGAGCAGGCCAGCCAAUACCUGACCAGAUCCUUUGUCCUGUGUACCAUCAAUGAGAAUAGGCCAGCUAACCCUGUUGUUGAAAUCUGCCCUCUGUAAUGAAUAAAAGUUGUGUGCCUUUUGGGUUCGGGGCUGCCUCUCACUGCGUGGAUGAGCAACCCCAUGUACGUGGAAUAAAAAACCUCAUGCUA